rnacentral:tRNA from 1 species
GUGGCUCAGUGGCAGAGUACCUGCCUAGCAUGCAGGAGGGCCUGAGUUUGAUCCCCAGC